CUGCCACUGCGUACCAUGUUGAUCAAAGCUGAAGAAGCCGUCUCAGUGACAUAAACUUUGCUGUCUGGACCAGGACAAUUUUCACCAAGACUUGCACAUAGCCACCAAUUGAUGGGAAUUGGAGUUUGGGAAGAAAGGAGCUGGAAAUUCAGUAGCUUCAGGCCAGAAAGAUAUGGAUAUUGUGGAGGCAGACAAAAAGAAUCAUGUCUAGCGCCCAACGAACAUGGAUAGUUGUGGCUAAGCCAGGUUUUAUGUGUUGCAGAAACCAGGAGUAUUGAAUGACUUGAUCUACUAUAAUAUUGUAUAUUGAUAAUUGUUUCCCAACUUUGUUGCUUACGCUACCUAAACUCACGUAUGGGGAUACAGGUUCAAGAACAUUUUAGUAUCUUAUAUUAGUCUUCCUUUGCCAGAUGAUAAUGUUUUUGGAAGUAAGAUAGCAACGAAUUCUCCA